rnacentral:rRNA from 1 species
CAGGCCUAACACAUGCAAGUCGAGCGGAUGAAGGGAGCUUGCUCCCUGAUUCAGCGGCGGACGGGUGAGUAAUGCCUAGGAAUCUGCCUGGUAGUGGGGGACAACGUCUCGAAAGGGACGCUAAUACCGCAUACGUCCUACGGGAGAAAGCAGGGGACCUUCGGGCCUUGCGCUAUCAGAUGAGCCUAGGUCGGAUUAGCUAGUUGGUGAGGUAAUGGCUCACCAAGGCUGCGAUCCGUAACUGGUCUGAGAGGAUGAUCAGUCACACUGGAACUGAGACACGGUCCAGACUCCUACGGGAGGCAGCAGUGGGGAAUAUUGGACAAUGGGCGAAAGCCUGAUCCAGCCAUGCCGCGUGUGUGAAGAAGGUCUUCGGAUUGUAAAGCACUUUAAGUUGGGAGGAAGG